UUAAGCGACUAAGCGUACACGGUGGAUGCCCUGGCAGUCAGAGGCGAUGAAGGACGUGCUAAUCUGCGAAAAGCGUCGGUAAGGUGAUAUGAACCGUUACAGCCGGCGAUGUCCGAAUGGGGAAACCCAGUGCAAUUCGUUGCACUAUCGUUAACUGAAUACAUAGGUUAACGAGGCGAACCGGGGGAACUGAAACAUCUAAGUACCCCGAGGAAAAGAAAUCAACCGAGAUUCCCCCAGUAGCGGCGAGCGAACGGGGAGCAGCCCAGAGUCUGAAUCAGCUUGUGUGUUAGUGGAACGGUCUGGAAAGUCCGACGGUACAGGGUGAUAGUCCCGUACACCAAAAUGCACAGGCUGUGAACUCGAAGAGUAGGGCGGGACACGUGGUAUCCUGUCUGAAUAUGGGGGGACCAUCCUCCAAGGCUAAAUACUCCUGACUGACCGAUAGUGAACCAGUACCGUGAGGGAAAGGCGAAAAGAACCCCGGCGAGGGGAGUGAAAAAGAACCUGAAACCGUGUACGUACAAGCAGUGGGAGCACCUUCGGGUGUGACUGCGUACCUUUUGUAUAAUGGGUCAGCGACUUAUAUUCUGUAGCAAGGUUAACCGUAUAGGGGAGCCGCAGGGAAACCGAGUCUUAACUGGGCGUUAAGUUGCAGGGUAUAGACCCGAAACCCGGUGAUCUAGCCAUGGGCAGGUUGAAGGUUGGGUAACACUAACUGGAGGACCGAACCGACUAAUGUUGAAAAAUUAGCGGAUGACUUGUGGCUGGGGGUGAAAGGCCAAUCAAACCGGGAGAUAGCUGGUUCUCCCCGAAAGCUAUUUAGGUAGCGCCUCGUGAAUUCAUCUUCGGGGGUAGAGCACUGUUUCGGCUAGGGGGUCAUCCCGACUUACCAACCCGAUGCAAACUACGAAUACCGAAGAAUGUUAUCACGGGAGACACACGGCGGGUGCUAACGUCCGUCGUGAAGAGGGAAACAACCCAGACCGCCAGCUAAGGUCCCAAAGUCAUGGUUAAGUGGGAAACGAUGUGGGAAGGCACAGACAGCCAGGAUGUUGGCUUAGAAGCAGCCAUCAUUUAAAGAAAGCGUAAUAGCUCACUGGUCGAGUCGGCCUGCGCGGAAGAUGUAACGGGGCUAAACCAUGCACCGAAGCUGCGGCAGCGACACUAUGUGUUGUUGGGUAGGGGAGCGUUCUGUAAGCCUGCGAAGGUGUGCUGUGAGGCAUGCUGGAGGUAUCAGAAGUGCGAAUGCUGACAUAAGUAACGAUAAAGCGGGUGAAAAGCCCGCUCGCCGGAAGACCAAGGGUUCCUGUCCAACGUUAAUCGGGGCAGGGUGAGUCGACCCCUAAGGCGAGGCCGAAAGGCGUAGUCGAUGGGAAACAGGUUAAUAUUCCUGUACUUGGUGUUACUGCGAAGGGGGGACGGAGAAGGCUAUGUUAGCCGGGCGACGGUUGUCCCGGUUUAAGCAUGUAGGCUGGUUAUCCAGGCAAAUCCGGAUAAUCAAGGCUGAGGUGUGAUGACGAGGCACUACGGUGCUGAAGUAACAAAUGCCCUGCUUCCAGGAAAAGCCUCUAAGCAUCAGGUAACAUCAAAUCGUACCCCAAACCGACACAGGUGGUCAGGUAGAGAAUACCAAGGCGCUUGAGAGAACUCGGGUGAAGGAACUAGGCAAAAUGGUGCCGUAACUUCGGGAGAAGGCACGCUGGUGUGUAGGUGAAGCCCCUGCGGGUGGAGCUGAGACCAGUCGAAGAUACCAGCUGGCUGCAACUGUUUAUUAAAAACACAGCACUGUGCAAACACGAAAGUGGACGUAUACGGUGUGACGCCUGCCCGGUGCCGGAAGGUUAAUUGAUGGGGUUAUCCGUAAGGAGAAGCUCUUGAUCGAAGCCCCGGUAAACGGCGGCCGUAACUAUAACGGUCCUAAGGUAGCGAAAUUCCUUGUCGGGUAAGUUCCGACCUGCACGAAUGGCGUAAUGAUGGCCAGGCUGUCUCCACCCGAGACUCAGUGAAAUUGAACUCGCUGUGAAGAUGCAGUGUACCCGCGGCAAGACGGAAAGACCCCGUGAACCUUUACUAUAGCUUGACACUGAACAUUGAGCCUUGAUGUGUAGGAUAGGUGGGAGGCUUUGAAGCGUGGACGCCAGUCUGCGUGGAGCCAACCUUGAAAUACCACCCUUUAAUGUUUGAUGUUCUAACGUUGGCCCCUGACCGGGGUUGCGGACAGUGUCUGGUGGGUAGUUUGACUGGGGCGGUCUCCUCCCAAAGCGUAACGGAGGAGCACGAAGGUUAGCUAAUCCUGGUCGGACAUCAGGAGGUUAGUGCAAUGGCAUAAGCUAGCUUGACUGCGAGCGUGACGGCGCGAGCAGGUGCGAAAGCAGGUCAUAGUGAUCCGGUGGUUCUGAAUGGAAGGGCCAUCGCUCAACGGAUAAAAGGUACUCCGGGGAUAACAGGCUGAUACCGCCCAAGAGUUCAUAUCGACGGCGGUGUUUGGCACCUCGAUGUCGGCUCAUCACAUCCUGGGGCUGAAGUAGGUCCCAAGGGUAUGGCUGUUCGCCAUUUAAAGUGGUACGCGAGCUGGGUUUAGAACGUCGUGAGACAGUUCGGUCCCUAUCUGCCGUGGGCGCUGGAGAAUUGAGGGGGGCUGCUCCUAGUACGAGAGGACCGGAGUGGACGCAUCACUGGUGUUCGGGUUGUCAUGCCAAUGGCACUGCCCGGUAGCUAAAUGCGGAAGAGAUAAGUGCUGAAAGCAUCUAAGCACGAAACUUGCCCCGAGAUGAGUUCUCCCUGAGACUUUAAGUCUCCUGAAGGAACGUUGAAGACGACGACGUUGAUAGGCCGGGUGUGUAAGCGCAGCGAUGCGUUGAGCUAACCGGUACUAAUGAACCGUGAGGCUUAACCUU
rnacentral:rRNA from 1 species